UUCAUUGAAUCCCAUCCAAAGGUCAACAAUUGCCUCUAUAGUUACAUUAAUAUGUCCAAAUAACCAUCAAUAAACCUAGGAUCAGUACAACCCUUCAUCUCCUGUCACUAUCGCCAGCCGUCGCCGAAGAUCGCCAGCGGCGGCGAUCGAUCUCUAAACCCCCUCGAAAUAUGACCCCAUAAUCCUUGCGCCUUCUCAUUCCAAAUCGAUAACUAGUUUUCUCCAAAUGUCGCCCUAUUUUCAUGAAUUUCAAAUCUCGGAAGGCGAAAAAUCUGAGUUGGCUCCGUUCUCUGUAUUUCUCCGAUAUUUGCUUUUUUUGAUAUUAUCAUGAGGGGUCAGCUGGUUGUUCAGUCAAAAUUUGAGGCCCGUCAUUGGAGCCAGUUUUAGCCAAGCAAUCCGUGCUCCCAGGUGCUAGUUCGUCUCAUUGCCAAGUAGGUGUCGAAGAUUGUGAUAUGAAGCAUUACCGUCGGAGAAAUUUCGGUUAAAGCUCGUAUUAGAUUCUCGCCGCUUGUUGGAUCCUCCUUAGUCAUUGAUUUCUUUGAAGUUGUCAAAUAUGCUAUUAGAACCUGGUACAUUUUCCCUCUUUAAUAUAAUUUUCAAUCAUUUCUUCUCUUGUUGUUUACUAUCUUGUUUUCAAACGUUAACUUUUGUUUGAUAAAUCAGCAUCGAUAGCUUAGUAGAAUCAUUAUUUGUUAAUGCUAAGUUCUGUUUGAUUUAGAAGUGUCGUUUUUCAUAGCUUCAAGUGUAUUGUAGUUCUUGUCAUCUUUUGUUGAUUCACGAAACUGCGCUGUUUUUUUUACUAUUUUAUUUUGUGUAUUAAUCACGUUUGAGCUUUAUAAAAGGGGAGCCCAAAGCGGGGCAGAGAAUUCUGGUAGCCGACAUGGUUUGGGCCUGUAUGUGACUCACUUGCACCCGUAUCUGUUCUUUUCAGGGAGGGUAAAUAGUGACAUCUAUGGGGGUAAUUUGGGUAGUCUAGAUGGGGAAUAUUUUGUAACUAACCUGGAAGUUUCUAGCAGGGAUCUGCUAGUAAAUUUCAGGGUAUAACUUGGAAAACAAGUCACAAAAUAGGGGACUAAAAAUGAAAACAAAAUCUGAAAGGUACCUUAAGGACUUGCCUAUAAAGGCAUUGUCAAGGAGGCUGAAAAAAGCUAGAAACAAUGCAGGGAAGAGGAGCUAAUUUAAUUGGUUCCAUAUAAGUUUUAAAAAUUAGAAAUAUUAGAAAUUCUAUUGUUCCAUUGGUCCCUGUGGUGAUUUUGAGCUUUGUGAUGAUUUGAAUAUUCCGAGCAUACAAUACUUCGAGUUUGGUUUGAAGUCUAUGUGAAAUAUGCUUGGUUUUACUUUGGAUAAAGCUAGUUUCUAGUCAAUUAUACAUCAGUUUGAGUUAGUAUUCUUCAUUAUUGGGUGCUGGCUGUUGGGUGAUGGGGUUUGAGGCUGAUUUUGGCUUCAUUUCUACUACUGUUGUUGUUUUUCCACUACUGAAAUACCUCACUUUAUUUUCCUUCUACCUUCCAGGCACAUUUCUGCUUCAUUCUCAUGUGAGCACUGAUUUGAAGAAAUGGAAGUUUUUUGAAAGUCAAAAGCAUGAUUUCAUUGCUGAUAUUUAGUAUGUGGUGUUUCAUAGUUUUUAGUGUUUUACUCCCCUUUUAUUAGUUUGCAGUGUUAGCUAUGCAAUUUGCUGUUCUCAUAUUUAAACUAAGAUUGUUAAAGGAUUUGGAAAUGCCUGUUUUUAAAUCCAGGGUCAAUAUAUUAUAGCUGUUGUUGGGGUUUGCUUGCUGAACAAAUUAACCUUUGUUGCAGCAGCUGGUUACUAUGGUUGUUGAUUGUUGCAUUUCAAUUGGAGUCCGUUAGUUUUAUUUUGUUUGUUGUUAUGUGUUAUUCUGUCGUUGCCUAUACUUUGGUUCAAUUCGAAUGUUAAACCAUAACAUAACCAGUUCAUUAUCAUCCGUUUUCAUUUUUAUAUCAAGAAGGCAUAAGGACCAGAAUUUUGAAACCAAUUUUGAAGCAGGAAAGUGAUAAUUUUGUGGAAAUGGUAAAAGGUGGAUGACAAGUUUAAUAGGCCUAGCAAUUAUACAAUGGAAAUUUCUAAUGCAGAAGAUAGAAUUUGGGUGAUUGAAGUCACCAUUUGUGUUUCCAGAUUUUUGCAUAGGGACUGGGCUAUAAUCGAGCUUGGCCUAGUUCAUUUCAACGCAUGAUUUUUUUAAUACAAUAUGACAUGGGCCCUUGUUCGAUUGGGUUUUAAUUUUAAAGUAUGCCUUGUUGAAAUCUUACGAGUUUCCGCUUUAUAUGAGUUAAAUCGUUUUAAAUAAUUAGGAGGUGGACCGUAACUCAUAGUGAAUGGCCCCACUAGUAGCUUGGAUGUAAGUGAUUAAUAAUCGUAGCAAGCAUUUAGGGCCAUUAAAAAUACAAUUGUGGUUGCAUAUACGUUUGCAUAACACGACCAUGAUUCUAAAUUAAUUUGGGGUAUGCGUUCGCGAACUUCAACCGAUCGUUUCUUAAUAAUAAAAUAGGUUACAAAUUUUAAUUAUUUUAGUUUACGUAAGUUCAUUAAAACCACAUAUGGCCUUCUAGUAAUUUCGUAGGUUAGAUAAAAUAUAAUAUUUCGUAGAAUAUCCUUUUGGGCCGUUUAAUACUAGUGCGAUUGAGUAUACGUCAGCGUAACACAAUUACACUUCUAAAAACAAAACUAGAGUAUGUGUUCGCGCAGCUUUGGCCCAAAUUUUUUAAAUAAUAAAGCGUUAUUAAUUAUGUACACGUCCGCGUGACAUGAUUUCUGACACACCAAACAAGCGGGUAUACAUACGCAUAAUCCGUUUCAAGAUAAUUUUCUAACUAAAAGAGGUAAAAGAAGUAAAUGCACAUAGGUUCUCAAAUCUGUAAUUAAAUAAUUUUAAUAAGCCAGGUAUUAUAAAAGCGACCAUGCUAGAAUCACGGAACUCGGGAGUGCCUAACACCUUCUCCCUGGUUAACAGAAUUCCUUACCGGAUUUCUGAUUCACAGACUAUAAUAACAGAGUCAUUCUUUCCUUGAUUCGGGAUUUUAAACCGGUGACUUGGGACACCAUAAAUUAUCCCAAGUGGCGACUCUGGUUUUAAUAAUUAAUCCCGUUUCGAUUGUCACUUAAAUUGGAAAAACUCCCUUUAUUAUACCCUUCCGGGGUAUAGUAAUGAAAAAAGGAGGUGUGACAUCUCUGGCGACUCUGCUGGGGGAGAACAUUUAAUCUCUGGUUCAGGGUUCAUGAAUUCGAGAUUGUUUUAUGAUUUUUACUUGGCUUAUUUAUUGUUGAUAUUAUUAUACUUUUGUGAACCUCUGUGCUAAACUACUAUCUGUUUAUCGCUUUAAUAUUCUUGAAUUGUAUAUAAUUGCUUCCUUACGCCACCCCUUCUGAGUCUUCUGAAAAUGGUGCAUACAUUCACGUAGCCCGCUUUUUCUGUAGAAAUUAUACCAAAUAGAGUGAGGCCGGGCAAGAAACACGGCCGGGCAGACUUUAGUGCUCCCGGUACGUUGCCCCCUCCUCGGCCCCAGUUGUUCGCUCGGGUACCCCGUGUCUAGAUCAAAACCCCAGGAUUUAAACUUAGAAAAACACAACCUCAUGACGGAUCCUUAGUAGGAGCGUUUGUUUGCAUCACGUGCAUUUUGACUUAGAGGACUUAACACAGGGGUUGGGUUCGUCUAGAACAGAUGUACCCAAGAUAAUAGACCAUUAUGAUGCAUCCAAUGUGCUAGGUGAACAAUCAUUUAUUUCGCUUGCAUGCUGAUCGGCUAAAUAAGAAAAGAAGAGUGAGAAAAAUCAGAGGAAAACAAGAAAAAGGAAAAGAGAGAGAAAAAGACCAAGAGGAGUAAACCCGGUUCUAAAAAAGAAACCCAAUGCUUGAAAAUACCUCGAAACUCUGCCCAAAAAAGGGAAGAAAAGGGAAAAGAGUCCUAGUCGCCAACAAAAGAAAAACAAGUUUUUAUUUUCAAGAAUAGCCAAUAAAGAGUUUUGUUUUCAAAAAUAGCUUGUUCUAAUUGACAAUGAAAAAAAGAGAAAAGAGAAUUUUUUUUUCAAAAAAUAGUUUGUUCUAUUUGCCAAUGAAAAGAAAAAGAGUCUUGUGUUCAAAAUUAAUUUGUUUAUUUGCCUAUAAAUUAAAAAAAAGAGAAAAAAGUCACGUUUCAAAAGUAGUGGUAUUUGACGAACUACGCAGGUUCCAUCGGAUAUGGGAUACGUAGACAACCUAUAUAAGGUCCGGCCUCAUUUUUUGAGAAAUAGAAGAAAAAGAGAUAAAUAAGCCGAUUCAGUGUCGGUAGUGUUUCAAAAUCGUUCUUACCGAGAUUGCCUUAGAAUAUUCUCCCGUUAUCGAAGGGCUAUCUUCGUAGAAGAAUGGAUAAAAUUGAGAAAGUGUCACAGAAUAAAUCCUCUACGGCCUCAAAAUUCAUAUGGGAUUGGGAAGGGGCCAUUUUUGCAAAAAGGCCAUUUGGCUAACCUGGGCAUAUAAAGGAGGGAAUCAUGAUCUUUUUGAAACCAAAAACUUGUUUUCAAAAAGGGCCAUUAGAUCAACCCUAACCCUACCUUUUGCAGGAACAAAUGAAUAUCAUCCAGGACACACCAGAAGUGAUCAGGGACCAGGCUCGAGUACAUUUGCGCAUGUGGUGGAUUGAUUUGGAUCAAGAUGGUCGAGAAUGGGUAAGACAACAGAUCAGCGCUCUUAUAGGCAUUUGGGAGAUCAAACUGCAGGAUGAUUUGAUCAAGGCUACGAUUACUUUCUGGGACCUUGCUCAUAAUGUUUUUCGCUUCUCAAACUUCGAGAUUACCCCUACUUUGGAGGAGAUAGCUGGGUAUAUUGGGUUUGGGCGAGAUCUGAGGAAGCAACAACCUAUAUUUCCAAGAACCCCGUCGGUGCACAAGUUUUUUGACCUCCUGAAUAUCAACAAAUAGACAAGCAAAACUGUGUAAGCAACGGGUGUUGUGAUUUCCAUUUCUUGUACUUCAUGUUUGGGCAUUCUUCUGGUUUUGAGACACAUGAAAAGUGGUUGAGCAACAAACAAGAUAAGGGGCUUUUGGCAAACUCAUCGUCGGUUCACAUUUAUUGUGGCAUUCCUGGGGGUAAUGGUGUUUCCAAAUGAGAAAGGGACAGUGGAUAUUCGCAUGGCCAGAAUUACACAAAUCCUCACCACCAUGAAAAAUCAUACACUUGCCCCAUUGAUACUAGCGGAUAUCUACCGUGCGUUGUCUUUAUGCAAAGCUGGAGCUCAAUUUUUCGAAGGUUGCAAUAUCCUCUUACAAAUGUGGAUGAUCGAGCAUCUUCGCCACCAUCCUAGAUUCAUGAGUCAUGGUUCGAGCCUAAAUAAUUUCAUCAUCAGUUAUGAAGAGAGCGUGAAGGAUUACAGCGUGCCAGAGUGGUUUGAGGCAUGUGUGUCGCAUUUGAAAACUCUCACAGCAAGUCAAAUUGGGUGGUUCAUCGGAUGGCUCCCGAAGACAGAAGCCAUACACAUGUCUGCUACUAAGGGCUACUUGAGGAUAAUGGGUGUGAGAAUUAUUCAACCAUAUGUACCACAGAGGGUCUUAAGACAAUUGGGAAGGUAUCAAAUUGUACCCGAAGAUGAGGAUCUAAGUGCUCAGGUUAUAGAGUUGCAUCCGAAAGCCACAUUGCCUGAGGCUUUAGUGAAACAAGAUUGGAAUAGCUGUCGGUAUCUUAACUACCGCUAAGGGUUACUUGAGGAUAAUGGGUAUGAGAAGUAUUCAACCAUAUGCGCUGCAGAGGGUUUUGAGACAGUUGGGAUGGUAUCAAAUUGUACCCGAAGAUGAGGAUCUAAGUACUCAGGUUAUAGAGCUGCAUCCGGAAGCUGCAUUUCCCGAAGCUUUAGUUCAACAGGAUUGGAAUACAUGCUGGUAUGUUAAAAAUGGCACCCAAGUAUCAGAUGUCACAAAAGCAGAGGUGGAUCCACACUAUACUGCUUGGUUUGAGAAGAGGUCCUGUGUGAACACUGAGUCGGAACCCGAACCUGAAAGACCCACCAAAAGACCUCAUGUUCAAGCUUUCGAAGACAAAAUCCAAGAAAGAUUAGCAUGGGGAAAAAAAGAAAAAGCGUAUCAAGCUGAGGUUCAUGCCUUGAAAGAAAAGCUAAGAAACAUGGAAUUCAACAGUGAUCUCCAGGCUCAAGAAGCUGAAGGUGAGAAAAGAAGAUUGAUCCAAGAAAAUGAAGCUCUCACUACACAGAUCCAGAAAAUGAAAAUAGCAAUUGACAACCCGGGCAGGAGUAGAAAGGAUGAUAAGCUCAUCUACAACCUUACCUAGAAGGCACGAGACUACGAGGAUGAUAUACAGAAGACUAAAAAGGAGUUAGCAAGUGCUCGGGCCAAGAUAGCCAAGGAUGUAGGGGAACAAGCAAGUUUUGUCCGUCAGUUGAGGGAGAAAUACGACAAGGGGAUGGCAAGUAUGAAGAAAAAGGUCAAGAUCGUGAAAAUGAAAUAGCCAAAAUGGGAAGGGAUUUUGAAGCCGAAAGGGAGCACUGUUAUUCUUUAAUAGCGCGGCUAGAGAGUGACUUGCACCACCUUCAAAAAUAGAGCCAUGUAGCCAAACGAACUGUGGAAGCAAGAACUCGGCAAAUUGAAGAUUUAUUACGGGAGAAAGUAGGAUCCGAGAAAGGGUUACAACGAUUGCAGAGUACAUUAUGGUAAAAUGCCAAAUAUGUGAAGACAUGACCCAAACCACUUUCCUCGUGGCAGUCAUGACGUUUGUUCAGUAAGUACUGAUAGAUUUGGAAAGGCUCCAGGUGGAUCUUGCAGAUGAGCCCGCAACAAAACCAAACAAUACCCCGAAAGCUCCAGGAGUGUUUAAGACUUUAAUUUAUUAGUGAUCUUUGUUUGAGUCGAUAUUUUUGCUUUGAGUCUGUUAAGUUAGCUCUUUUAGUUGACCUUUUUGAGCCUGUUCAGUUUAUUUUGAGUCUGUGGAUCUUGAGUCUUUGUAGUCGAGGUGUUGGUUUUGAUCAAAAAAUUUCAAAAAAAUAUAUUUUAUCAUUCGCCAGAACUACGCUCGGUCUGAUUCAUGGCGGGUCAUGAUACGUAGGCAAUCUACAUAGGAUUCGACCGCAGCCCAAAUAAAGGAAAUAGGAAGAGAAAGGGAACGAAGAGGGGAAGAGUAGAAGAGAAAAUCAAAGGAAACGAGGGGAAAUCAAGAAAUAAAUAAUGGAAAAUCAAGAGAGGUGGAAAAAUAGGAGAGUUAGCAAGAAGAUAAACUGAGAAGAGGCAUUGCAAAUAAAGAAGAGGGAAAGCUGGGAUGACGCAAGCAACCGAUGCAUGUAGUAGCCAAUAACUGUGUAGGUGCAUUCAUUCCCCAAUAUGUGGCAGCUUACAUGUCAAAACCUAACAAGUUUUUGUGUUGUUGCAUCCAGCCUAGACAGGUGGUCAGCACUUGCGGCAUUCUGGCAACUCACUCCUACAACACGAGGUCUAAGAGCAAGCAAGUCAUGGCCAAUCAAGAAGUCUACGUCAGCAUUAUUGACCCCUCGAAAGAGGUGGAGGAAUUGGACGUAAAUGCCAUGAAGGAGGAAAUGUACAAACUGAAACACCAAAUGACUGAGAUGUAUCAGGCAUGGGCAAGAGGACAGCCUUCACCAGCCUACCCUGCUAAUCCAACCUUCAUCCCGCCACUGGCCUAAGCUCCUAACCAUUCCACCACCAUCCACCCCAAGCUUUCCUAUGUAUUCGCAACACCAAGUUACGACCUCUCAACAACCCUUAGCUCCACUACCGAAAGUCGCUCCUCAUCCCCCUCCACCAAUUGCUCCCAUUUAUUUGGCACCUCCUCCUCCCGCACUCCAAAGAUCGUCAAGAGAGCCCUUGCUUCAAGCUUACGGCAACCAAUACUAUCCACCAGAACCUGCUUACAAAGCCCAUGAACCUUACUCUUAUGCUCCAUGUUUCGAAAUCCCAGCAGGAGUCAAAAAUCCAGUCAAAAAUCCUGAGCACAAAGAGGUUCUCAGAAAGGUCAGAAGUUUAGAACAAUCGUUCAGGGACAUGGGAGGGAUAGGUGGCCAGGUGAGCGUGGCGUUCAAGGACCUUUGUCUAUUUCCAGACGUGCAGUUGCCUCCAGGUUUUAAAAAGCCUAAUUUUGACUUAUAUGACGGACACAGCGACCUGGUCGCGCAUCUAAGAGGAUUUUGCAGAAAAAUGAGAGGAGCAGGGGGAAAAAAUGAAUUGCUAAUGGCAUACUUUAGCGGAAGUUUAAGUGGGUCGGCUUUGGAGUGGUACGCUCGGCAGGAUCACAAUCGGUGGUACACUUGGGAUGAUCUGGCACAAGCGUUAGCUGUCACUUUCAAUAUAAUCUCGAGAUUGUCUCGAAUCAUCUAUCUUUGACAAAACUGGAGAAGAAACACAACAAAAGCUUUAGGGAAUACGGUUUUCGGUGGAGAGAACAAGCAGCCAGAGUUGAUCCUCCAAUGAAGGAGAGUGAGAUGGUUGAUUAUUUUCUACAGGCUCUGCAANNNNNNNNNNNNNAUACGGUUUUCGGUGGAGAGAACAAGCAGCCAGAGUUGAUCCUCCAAUGAAGGAGAGUGAGAUGGUUGACUAUUUCCUACAAGCUCUGGAACCUACCUAUUUCGGGCAUUUGGUGUCAACAGUAGGUAAUCUUUCAACGAAGUAGUUAAAAUGGGGAGUAUGGUCAAGGAAGGCCUCAAAUCCAAGAAGAUCAUGAGCUGCUCUGCAAUCAAGGGAACCACUCAAGCCAUCCAGGGUGGAGCUGGGGGAACAUUGGGAAAGAAGAAGAAGGAAGAAGUGGCAACAAUUGAGUCGGGAACUUGGUUCAGGCCUCGGGCCCCAUCCCACUACACUCAACCCCGUCCUCACCACCAAACAUACACAAACACUCCAUACGGCCACCACAACAUUACUAUCCACCGUUAGAACCUUGCUUUUCAGUCCAUCAUGCACAAGCAUAUACCCAACCUCCUGCCCAGGCCAGCCCCACAAAAUACCUACCCAACUCCACAAAAUCAUUACCUACCUCCAAAAGCCUACCAACAACCCCUGUAACCCGCCUUCCGAGCCAAUCCAGUGAAGUCAAGCUAACUGAGAAUAUGAGUACUGAGAAGUCGGUGAUCGAGGCAAAAGGAAGAAGCAGUGAACCUGUUGUAGUUCAAGGGAGCUCAUCGUGCACGGUUGCACCCAAACAGGAACAUGUAAAAGUGAUAUGACAUGGGGCAGCUAGAGAACCUAUUGUAGUUGUGGAAGGUGCUCGCAUAGAGCCUGUCAUUGUGAAACCAGUAAUCCAUCCACCAGUCGUCGAUAGCAAAGCCGCUCCUUGGAGAUAUGAACAAGCAAUAGUGAUGUACAAAAGGGAAGGAAGUUAGGGAGGAGGUUUGUGAAGCCCGGGGUUUAACUCGGUCAGGGAGAUACUUCGCCCCUGAGGAGUUGAGGAACAGAAGGAUCCCUAAGGAUAACCCAUAAUCAGUGAAGAAAGCUGUAUCAGAAGAAGAGGCAGAAGAAUUCCUGAAGAAAAUAAAAAUGCAAGACUACUCCAUCAUAGAGCAAUUGAGGAAGACACCAUCUCAGAUCUCCUUAUUAUCCUUACGAAUCCAUUCAGAUGAACACCGAUGGGCGCUGAUGAAGAUUUUGAAUGAAGCCCACGUCCCUGACAAGAUAACAGUGAAUCAUUUGGAGAAGAUUGCAAAAAAGAUAUUCGAGGUAAAUUGGGUCACUUUCUCUGACGAUGAACUGCCCAUGGAGGGCAGUGAGCAUAACCGGGCCGUUUAUUUGACUGUGAAAUGUGAAGAUGCUGUGGUCACCCAGGUUCUAGUUGACAAUGGGUCCAGUGCAAAUAUUUGCCCGCUCUCUACAUUGAUCAAGAUGAAGGUGGAGAAUGAAAGGGUCCACAAGAAUAAAAUUUGUGUUCGGGGGUUUGAUGCCGGAGGCAAAGACUCAGUAGGGGAUAUAGUGAUGGAAGUAACAAUAGGGAAUGUUGAAUUUACCAUGGAAUUUAAAGUACUGGACGUGGUAGUUUCUUAUAACCUGUUGUUGGGCAGGCCCUGAAUUUAUGCAGCCAAGGCAGUGCCAUCUACUUUGCACCAGAUGGUCAAAUUUGAAUGGGAUAGGCAAGAGAUUGUGGUACACGGUGAAGAUAAUCAGUGUGUCUCGGGUGAUGCCAUCGUACCUUUAAUCGAAUCUGAAAACAGCAAGGGUCCAUGGGUCUACCAAGUAUUCUAGUGAAGAUAAUCAGUGUGUCUCAGAUGUUGCUAUCGUACCUUUUAUUGAAUCUGAAGACAGCAAAGGGCCAUGGGUUUACCAGGUAUUUAACACGGUGUCAAUUGAGAAGAUUCCGGAAGGUGAGGUUGUCAUAACUCCAAAUAUAGCAGCCGCAGUCAUGGUGGCUUCUGAAAUAUUGAAGAAUGGUUGUUUGCCCGGCAAGGGAUUGGGUGUUUCUCUACAAGGUAUCGUACAACCAGUGUCCCUCCCCAAAAAUCUGGACACUUUUGGUCUAGGGUUCAAGCAUACAAUUGCAUACACAAGGCAGGCCAUAAAGUUAAAGCAGAGGGCCUGGGCCCUCCCAAAGCCCAUCCCAAGGUUGUCCAGAUCAUUUUUCAGGCCUAGUACCAGCAAGUUCCUAGUGCUAAAGAUUCUUGGUCCGCUGAUUGAUGCAGAUAGGGAUUUGGAUAAGGGAUUAGAAAGGCUGUUCAAUGAGAUAAAUAUGGUCGAGGCAGGAGAAGGAUCGAGCAUGGCAAAUGUGCAGUUUGUGGGAGCAUGCGCAAGAGUCAACAACUGGGAAGCCACUCUUCCUCCCACCCGGAGGGAGUCGUGGUAGUCGGCUUUGUUUUUUCUUUCAGUCUAGUUUCGAUUAGCUUUAGAGUUGUUAAUUUAGUUGUUAUUUCCGUCCGUUUGGAUAUUUAAACUCUGUUAUCUUUUGAUUCUAAUGAAAUGCAAUUUCCUUUCCAGCAAUGCUAAUAGCUCCCAUUUUUCUUUACUUCUUUUUAUUUGUCUCUUUUGUACAGUUCUUUCUAUGUUGGUUCCAAUGAUCUGACAUGCAUAAGGACUCUUCGGCCCAGUAUUAAAAAUUGCUCUAGUUCAGAAAUAAUAAUUCAGGAAGUAGAGCAUGAGGAUUAGCCGGAGUACCACGAGGGAAGAGCAUGGGAUGAAAUCAGUAAAGAGUUGAGCCAAUUUGAGGAGAAACCCAAACCAAACCUGAACGAUACAGAGGCGGUCAACUUAGGGAGCCCGGACAACGUUUGAGAAACAAAAAUAAGUGUCCAUUUGGAGUCACAACUUAGGAAAGAAAAUACAGAGGCAGUCAAUUUAGGGAGCACGGCUAAUGUUAGAGAAACAAAAAUUAAGUGUCCAUCUGGAGUCACAACUUAGGAAAGAAAUAAUUGGAGUACUGCUUGAAUACAAAGAUGUCUUUGCAUAGUCCUAUGAUGAUAUGCCUGGAUUGAGCACUGACUUGGUGGUUCACAAGUUGCCCACCGACCCAGCCUAUCCUCCCGUUAAAUAAAAGUUGAGGAAGUUUAAAACUGAUGUGAGCGUGAAAAUCAAAGAGGAAGUGACCAAGUAGUUUGAUGCAAAAGUUAUACGGGUUACAUGAUAUCCCACAUAACUAGCUUAUGGUGUGCCCGUACCAAAGAAAGAUGGUAAGACCGCGGUGUGUGUCGAUUACCGUGACCUCAAUAAAGCAAGUUUGAAGGACAACUUCCCCCUGCCGAACAUUCACAUACUGGUUGAUAACUGUGCAAAGCAUGUGAUCGGGUCAUUCGUGGAUUGUUACGCAGGUUACCACCAGAUCUUAAUGGAUGAAGAAGAUGCGGAGAAAACAACAUUCAUCAAGCCAUGGGGGACAUACUGCUAUAGGAUCAUGCCUUUUGGUUUGAAGAAUGCCGAGGCAAGAUACAUGAGGGAAAUGACAACCAUUUUCCACGAUAUGAUGCAUAAAGAGAUUAAGGUCUAUGUGGAUGAUGUGAUUAUAAAGUCCAGAAAGCAGUUCGAUCAUGUCAAAGAUCUGAGGAAAUUCUUCGAGAGGCUUCGCAGGUAUGACCUCAAACUUAACCCGGCAAAAUGCGCAUUUGGAGUCCCCUCAGGGAAGUUGCUAGUGUUCAUAGUCAGUUGACGAGGCAUUAAACUAGACCCAUCAAAGAUCAAAGCUAUACAGGAAUUACCGCCACCGAGGAACAAAACAGAGGUGAUGAGUCUAUUGGGAAGAUUGAAUUACAUCAGUCGAGAUCAAAGCUAUACAGGAACUACCGCCACCGAGGAAUAAAAUAGAAGUGAUGAGUCUAUUGGGAAGAUUGAAUUACAUUAGUCAGUUUAUUGCUUUGCUCACAACCAUCUGCGAGCCCAUCUUUAAGCUACUGAAAAAGGAUAUUGCGGUGAAAUAGAUAGGAGAGUGCCAAGAGGCUUUUGGUAAGAUAAAUGAAUAUUUGUCGAACCCACCGGUGUUGGUCCCGCCAGAGCCAGGAAGGCCCUUAAUCUUAUAUUUAAUAGUCUUGGACAACCGAUUUGGAUGCGUGUUGGGUCAGCACGAUGCCACCAGGAGAAAAGAGCAGGCCAUAUACUACCUCUGCAAGAAAUUCACGGCCUAUGAGAUUAAGUAUACUCAUCUUGGAAGGACAUGUUGUGCCUUGACGUGGGUAGCCUAGAAGUUGAAACAUUAUUUGUGAUCAUAUAUCACUUAUCUCAUCUCUCAUCUGGAAGCCUAUGCGCACAGAAGGCUCGCAAAAUGCCAAAUCUUGCUCACUGAGUUUGAUAUUGUCUAUGCGACUAGGACCGUGAUGAAAGCACAAGCAUUGGCCGAUCAUUUAGUUGAGAAUCCGAUAGAUGAAGAAUAUGAGCCCUUGAACACAUACUUCCCCGACGAGGAAGUGAUGCAUACUGAUGAAAUAGAACGGGGUGAGAAAUCAGUAUGGAAACUAUUUUUCAAUAGGGCCGCCAAUAUGACAUGCGUCGGUAUAGGAGCACUGCUCAUUUCUAAAGAAUGGCAUCACUACCCAGUCAAAGCUCAACUCCGCUUCUAUUGCAUCAAAACCAUGGCAGAAUAUGAGGCAUGCAUUUUUGGUCUGAGAUUAGCAACAGACAUGGGUGUCCAGGAAGUCUUGGUCUUGGGAGACUCGGACCUUGUGGUACACCAAAUUUAAGGGGAGUUGGAAAUGAGAGAUUUAAAGCUCAUACCAUACCGGCAAUGCUUGCAUGAUCUUUGUCAACAAUUUUGGUCAAUAGAGUUCAGGCACAUCCCCAAAAUUCACAAUGAGGUUGCCUUGGCUACUUUGGCGUCAAUGUUACAUCAUCUGAACAAGGCUCAUGUCGACUCGAUACAUAUCCGAGUCCAUGACCAACAUACUUAUUACAACAUGGUGGAAGAAGAUCUUGACGGUGAGCCUUGGUUCCAUGACAUCAAAGAAUAUAUCAGGAGAGGUGUGUACCCCGUACAAGCCACAAACGACCAGAAGAGAACAAUCCGUCGUUUGUCAAGUGGAUUUUCCUUCAGCGGAGGAAUAUUAUACAAAAGGACGCCGGAUUUUCGUUUGUUAUGAUGCGUGGAUGCUGGGCAUGUGAUAGCCAUCAUGAAUGAGGUACAUGCUGGCGUCUGCGGGCCACACAUAAGUGGAUAUGUUUUGACAAAGAAGAUUCUCCGGGAAGGAUAUUAUUGGCUCACCAUGGAGCGGGAUUAUAUCAGCUUUAUGCGCAAAUGUCACCAAUGUCAGGUGCAUGGAGACUUAAAUUCACUCCCCGCCAUCUGAAUUGCAUACGAUGUCUGCACCAUGGCCUUUUGUUUCUUUGGGCAUGGACGUCAUCGGGCCCAUCGAGCCAGCAACCUCUAACAGACACAGGUUCAUCCUAGUUGAUUUCACCUAAUGGGUAGAAGCCAAAACCUUCAAAGUAGUGACCAAGAAAGUCAUGGUCGACUUUGUACAUGCAAAUAUCAUUUGCCGGUUUGGAAUCCCAAAAUUCUCAUUACUGAUAACGGGGAAAAUCUUAACACUCACUUGAUGAAAGAGGUAUGUCAGCAAAUCAAGAUCACACAUUGAAAUUCCACCCUGUACUACGCCAAGGUGAACGAAGCAGUCGAGGCAGCCAAUAAAAACUAAAGAAGAUACUUCGUAAAAUGGUGGAAGGUUCCAGGUAGUGGCAUGAGAAGUUACCCUUCGCACUGUUAGGCUAUCGCACUAACGUCCGCACCUCGGUAGGGGAAACCCUAUAUUUGUUGGUAUAUGACACAAAAGCAGUAAUCCUGGCCGAAGUUUAAAUCCCAUCCCUUCGGAUCGUGGCUUAAGCAGGAAUCAACAACGAAGAAUGGGUUAGAACUCAUUUGGAGCAAUUGAGUUUGAUUGAUGAGAAAUGAUUGGCAGCAGUGUGUCAAGGCCAGCUGUAUCAACAGAGGAUGGCUAGAGCAUAUAACAAGAAAAUGCGUCCAAGAAAGUUUGAAGUGGGUCAAUUAGUGUUGAAAUGCAUCCACCCUCACCAGGCCUAGGCAAAGGGCAAGUUCACUCCAAACUGGCAAGGACCAUUUGUCGUGUCAAUAGUGUUUUGCAUGGGGCAUUGUAUCUAACAGAUGUAGAAGGAAAUUGUGUAGAAAUGGCUAUCAAUUCAGAUGCAGUCAAAAGAUAUUAUGUAUGAUACUUGGCGUUUGUUUGUACUUGGCAUAUUUUAUAUAGAUUGAAAUGAUGAAGGCAUUUUAUUCAACUAACUAAACACUUUACCCUUUGUUAACCCUUUUGAGCUUCAAUUAUUUUUUCUCAUAUCCCAUCUUUCGGAAUCAGUAAUAAAAGUCAGAAGCACAAUCAUAAGAAGGCAAUGAAAGGACAAGAAUGAAAGGAGAAAAGAAAGCAAAUCAAAGGAAGAAAAAAAAGGAAGAAAAGAAAAAAAAAGAAAGAAAAAAAGAAGAAAAGAAAAAAAAAGAGGAAGAAAAGAAAAAAAAAGAGGAAGAAAAGAAAAAAAACAAGAAGAAGAAAAAGGAAGAAAAGAACAACAGAAGAAGAGAAGGGAAAAAGUAAGUAAUCAACAGGAACUACGUUUGACCCGAUUCCUUUUAAGGAUACGCAGACAGCCUCUCGGCUCGGUCAUAUUCAAAUAAAAUUCAAAGGCCCCAAGCAAGAAACUGGGGCAGAAGUUGUGUUGGUAUGGAUUCCGAAAGUUGUAAAUUUUGAACCUAUAAAAGCGAUUUUUGAGCCGUUCACACCCCUUCUUUCUAACCUUAUCCAAAAGCCUGCAUUACAAUCCAACGAAAGACCUUCUGAUCAAUCUGUAAUAAAUUUCGGGGCAAGCAAGGAGAAGUGGACCAUACCUCGGGACGACACUCUAGUUCCUGCAGAAAAUAAUAAAAUUAGAGUCUUAUUGGUGAAAACCCUCACGGACACCCUAAGGCGAUGCAAGUUGAGAGAAAUAAAAAUGAGAGAGUCUUAUUGGUGAAAACCCUCACGAGUACCAUAUGGUGAUGAGAGCUUGAGAUAAAUAAAAAAAAGCGAGUCUUAUUGGUGAAAACCCUCAUGGGCACCAUGAGGCAAAAACAAGGCAAAAAAGCAACAACCAGAGAGGGGCUGUUGGUGGAAAUCUAUUCAGAACACCGCAAAGCAAGCAGAGCCAGGGUUUGGUUGAAGGAAUUGGGUUGGAAGUAGACACAACAACAAAAGCAUGGCUACAGAAGGCCUGUCAUCGGGACAGACUGGGAUGACUAGGCCGAAGUGCAUGUCAUGAUCAUAAAAAUCAGUUGCUCUUCCUCAGUUAAGUUUCCUUUCUCUUCCUUUCAUCAGUCAGUGAAUGUGGAUCUCUUUACCCUAAAUACAAUUCUGAGUCAUUGCAUUUCAUUUUUCUUUCGAGUCUCUAAAUUCUUUUAUAUAAGCAAACGGGAGAAAUUUCAAAGCCUAUUAUCAACUCCCAAAGGGACAAAGCGCAUGACACCAAAAAACGUAACAAAUGCAGCAAUGUUUGAAAAAGCAAGGGGAGGGAUUCGCAAGAGCUUCAAUGAUAAGAUUGAUGGAAGAGACAAGAGUUGAAAAAGUGAAGGAGCACCACACAAAGAUGGGGAUGCAAAGUAAAACCAAUAAGGUGUUGGGGUCAGCCGAGCAUAACACACCGAUCGGGUAAUCUCAAAAAGGAUGCAAGGCUUGUGGCAAAAAGAGUCUGAAGCGAAACACAAAGAUGGGAAAGGUCACAAGGGUUAACCAAGCAUAAUACAUUGACUCAUCAACCAUUAGAGAAGGAUGUAAAUAAUUCUAGCAAAUGGUCAAAAAUGCAACACAAAGAUGAGGAGCAGAGUAAACUUACAAGGGUCAGAUUGUCAGCAAAGCAUAAUACAUUGACUUGGUAAUCUUGAGAAAGGUGCAAGGAUUCUGGAAAAAGGGCUUGAAAUGUAACACAAUAAUGGGGAGCAAAGUAAAGCCAUAAAGGUUCUGGGGGUCAGCUGAGUAGCUCAGGCAACUCAUCAUCAACAUGGAAAAUUGAACACAACGGAACACGGCAGUGGGGAGGCCGCUUCCAACAAGAAUUCCGCAAGAUAACCACCACUUUUCAAAUUGAAAAGUUUUCUUUGAUUGACUCAGGGGUAGGAAAAUUCCGGAAGAUCCUAAGGGAGGCCAUCCACAGGGGAAGGCAAGCACAUGACAAGUAUGAUCAAAAUCUCAGGGUCUACCUAGAAGCGGGACCCAAUUAAAACUAAAAGAAACAUAAUCCAUCAUAAAUAUCCUUCCCGGCUAGAAUGCAAUGGGAUGAAACUUCAAUUAGCAACCCCAACCAGAAAUAGCUGAGAGUUAAAAGGGGUGUUGAAGUUGAAAUUGGACUUAGUUUAAAGCUCAAACAGGCACGGGUACCAUGGGCAGGCACAAACACCUUCCCAAGUAAGAGUCACUGAAACCCUCCUGAACAAUGAUUACCCUACAGAAACAAUAGAAAGUUAGAAUUGGCAUUUAAUCUGGAACACUCAGAACCCUCAUGAAAAUGGGACUUAGCCUAAAACACAAACAAGCACGGGUAACGUGGGCGGGCAUAAAUACUUCCCCAACAAGAGUCAUCAGGACCCGUUUGAAUAAUGAGAUAUAGUUAUAUACUAAUCCCUAGCAGACACAUCUGGCCAUAUAAUUAAGAGUUGCCAGGACUUUCCUGGAUAAUGGGAAGUAACUUCAAUCACCGUUCCCCAAUAAAUCCCAGCAGAUAUAACUCAGAUAACAGAACACAGUGAAAAUAACACCUUUUUGAGAGGACAACCUAAUUUUAAAGUUUUCAUGGGAUUUGACUAACACUCACAGAUGCAUCUAGUACCAAACUGGGUAGAAAAAAAUUCUCUUGUUUUAUUUUGGCAGGUACCCAGGUAGCAGUCUCAGUGAAUAUUUUUUCAAGAUGCAAGUUUUGGUAAUCAGGUGCCCACCUAGAGAACAAGGGAAUAUUUUUUAAAAUUUCAAGUUUUGGUAAUCAGGCGCCCACCUGGAGAACAACGGAAUAUUUUUCGAAGUUUCAAGAUUUGGUAAUCAGGCGCCCACCUGUUAGAACAAGGGAAUAUUUUUCGAGAUUCAAGCUUUGAUAAUCAGGUACCCACCUGUCAGAACAAGGGAAUAUUUUUCAAAGUUCAAGCUUUGGUAAUCAGGCACCCACCUGGAGAACAAGAGAAUAUUUUUCAAGAUGCAAGUUUUUGUAAUCAGGCGCCCACCUGGAGAACAAGGGAAAAUUUUUCAAAAAUUCAAGCUUUGGUAAUCAGGCGCCCACUUGGAGAACAAGGGAAUAUUUUUCAAAAUUUGAAGUUUUGGCAAUGAGGCGUCCACCUGGAGAACAAGGGAAUAUUUUUCAAAAUUUCAAGUUUUGGUAAUCAGGCGGCCACCUGGAGAACAAGGGAAUAUUUUUUAAAAUUUCAAGCUUUGGUAAUCAGGCGUCCACCUGUUAAAACAAGGGAAUAUUUUCGAGACUCAACCUUUGGUAACUAGCCGCCCACAUGUCAGAACAAGGGGAUAUUUUCAAAAUUCAAGCUUUGGUAAUCAGGCACCCACCGGAGAAUAAGGGAAUAUUUUUCAAGAUGCAAGUUUUGGUAAUCAGGCGCCCACCUAUAGAACAAGGGAAUAUUNNNNNNNNNNNNNNNNNNNNNNNNNNNNNNNNNNNNNNNNNNNNNNNNNNNNNNNNNNNNNNNNNNNNNNNNNNNNNNNNNNNNNNNNNNNNNNNNNNNNNNNNNNNNNNNNNNNNNNNNNNNNNNNNNNNNNNNNNNNNNNNNNNNNNNNNNNNNNNNNNNNNNNNNNNNNNNNNNNNNNNNNNNNNNNNNNNNNNNNNNNNNNNNNNNNNNNNUUUUUCAAGAUGCAAGUUUUGGUAAUCAGGCGCCGACCUAUAGAACAAGAGAAUAUUUUUCAAAUUUCAAGUCUUGGUAAUCAGAAGCCCACCUGGAGAACAAGGGAAUAUUUUUCAAAAUUCAAGUCUUGGUAAUCAGGCGUCCACCUGAAGAACAGGGGAAUAUUUUCAUAAUUUCAGGUUUUGGAAAUCAGGCGCCCACCUGUAGAACAAGGGAAUAUUUUUCAAAAUUUAGGUCUUGGUAAUCAGGCGCCCACCUGGAGAGCAAGGAAAUAAUUUUCAAAAUUUCAAGUUUUAGUAAUCAGAAGCCCACCUGUAGAACAAGAGAAUAUUUUUCAAGAUGCAAGUUUGGUAAUCAGGCGCCACCUGGAGAACAAUGGAACACAAUUCGAGUUCAGCAAUCAGGCAUCUACCUGUAGAACAAGGGAAUACUUUUCAAGUCCAGGAAUGUAGCAUCAAACAUAGAAGAAGAGAAAUGAGAAGUCAACAAGUCAACAAGGAGUUUACAGGAAGAAAUACCAGUCUACAAGGCAACAAGAAGUUUACAGGAAGAAAUACAAGUCAACAGGGUGAUAAGAAGUUUGCAGGAGAAAUACAAGGCAAAAAAGCAACAAGGAUCAAAAGAAAGAUUGGAGACAUAGAUAGGUUCUUUUGUAAUCCAUAGCUCAUAGCUUAGUCUAGCUUCUUUAUUUUUCACAAGUUGUAAUAAGGGGGUCUAGCAGUAGCAGUAGUAGCAGUGAGGUCACAGUUUCGGUAGUCGCAGCUACCAAACACUCAUGAACUCACCGACAUGAUUACUCUUUAGCCGAGGAUAUGUAGGCAAUCUCUGAAGCAGGGUGUGGUCAAGCUUUUCAAAAUGCUUCUCACGGAGUAUUCAAACGGGCAAAAAUCGCUUGUAUUUGCUCACUUUUCUUUGCACGAAAACUCUUUGUGUUUCCACGCAAAGAAGGGCAGAUAUGAGCACGUGAUUUUUUUCCUACAUAAAUUACUCCUAUAAUUCCAAACAAAAUAAUUUCUUUUCAGUAUUUUUAAUUAUUUUUGAUUUUGUUGAUUUUUGUGUCAUUUUUUGUUAAUUGUUUGCAUUUUGUUUGUGCAUUUUAAUUAAUGAAAAUAUAAAAAAUACAUGUGGCAUGUGCACUUAGGAGUAAUUUUGUAUUUUUAAGAAUUAUUAAGUGAUUGGUUCAUCUUAGGAAAAAAGGAAAUUAAAAAAUAAUCUAGUUGCACUUUAAUACUAUCUUUGAUUUUUAGGUGAUCUCUUUUCUUUUAAUUUUUCUAUUAUGAUAAUUAUUACUUGGUUUAACUUUAGAAUUAAUUUAGGAUUUUUAGUUUAAUUUUAGAAAAAAAAUAAAAAGAGAUUGAAAUAGGAGAAAAGGAAGUUGGAAUAUAUGAUCUAAGUUAAAAGACCCAAAUUGGGCCAUUGUAACUAAAAUUCUAGUCCAAUUGGCCAAAACCCCUCACCUGAUACAUGACCCGCGUAACCCUGCCCAAGAACCUAUGACCCAACACCCAGUCAGUCAACAAACCCUCGAAACGACGUAGUACAAGAGUGAAACUACGUUUUUCGAGUUCAGGAGUAAAAAGUUAAUCCCACCCCUUCAUUAAAUCCCAUCCAAAGGUCAACAAUUGCCUUUGAAGUUACAUUAAUAUGUCCAAAUAACCAUCAAUUAACCUAGGAUCAGUACAACCCUUUAUCUCCUGUCACUACCGCCAGCCGCCGUCGGAGAUCGCCAGCUGUGGCGAUCGAUCUCCAAACACCCUCGAAAUUUGACCUCAUAAUCCUUGUCGCCUUCCUAUUCCAAAUCCAUCACUAGUUUUCUCUAAAUGUCACCCGAUUUUCAUGAAUUUAAAAUCUUGGAAGGCGAAUAAUCUGAGUUGGCUUCGUCUCCUCUGAUUUCCUCUAUAUUUCUCUGAUAUUUACUUCUUUUGAUAUUAUCACGAGGGGUCAGCUGGUUGUUCAGUCAAAAUUCGAGGCCUUCCACGAGAGCCAGUUUUAGCCAAGCAAUCCGUGCUCCAGGUGCUAGUUCGUCUCAUUGCCAAGAUAGGUGUGAAGAUUGUGAUAUGAAGCAUUAGCCAUCAGAGAAAUUUCGGUUAACGCUCGUAUUACAAUUCUCGCUACUUGUUGGAUCCUCCUUAGUUGUUGAUUUCUUUUAAAUCGUCAAAUUUGUUGUUAGAACCUGGUACAUUUCCCUCUUUACUGUAAUUUUCAAUCUUUUUUCUCUUGAUGUUUAUUAUCUUGUUUUCAAACGUUAAUUUUGGUGUGAUAAAUCAACAUCGAUAGCUUAGUAGAAUCAUUAUUUGUUAAUGUUGAGUUCUGUGUCUUGUUCUGUUUUAUUUAGAAGUGCCGUUGUUCAUAGCUUCAAUGGUAUUGUAGUUCUUGUCAUCUUUUGCUGAUUCAGGAAAUUGCACUAUUUUUUUACUAUUUUAUUUUGUGUAUUAAUCACGUUUGGGCUUUAUAAAAGAGGAGCCCAAAGCGGGGUAGGAAAUUAUGGUAGCCCACAUGGUUUGGGCCUGUAUGUGCCUCACUUAAGCCCGUAUCUGUUCUUUUCAGGGGAGGGUAAAUAGUGACGGCUAUGGGGGUGAUUUGGGUAGUCUAGUUGGGGAAUAUUUUGUAACUAACAUGGAAGUUUCUAGCAGGUAUCCACUAGUAAAUUUCAGGGUAUAACUUGGUAAACAAGUCACAAAAGAGGCUACUAAAAAUGAAAACAAAAUCUGAAAGGUAACUCAAGGACUUGCCUAUAAAGGCAUUGUAAAGGAAGCUGCAAAAAGCUAGAAAAAAUACAGGGAAGAGGAGCUAAUUUAAUGGGUUCCAUAUAAGUUAUAAAAAUCAGAAAUAUUAGAAAUUCUACUGUUCCAAUGGUCCCUGUGGUGAUUUUGAGCUUUGUGAUGAUUUGAAUAUUCUGAGCAUACAAUAAUUCGAGUUUGCUUUGAAGUCUAUGUGAAAUAUGCUUGGUUUUUCUUUGGUUAAAGCUGGUUUCUAGUCAAUUAUACAUCAGUUUGAGUUAGUAUUCUUCAUUAUUGGGUGUUGGUUGUUGGGUAUUGGGGUUUGAGGCUGAUUUUGGCUUCAUUUAUACUGUUGCUGUUGUUUUUCCACUGCUGACCUACCUCACUUUAUUUUCCUUCUACCUUCCAGGUACAUUGCUGCUUCAUUCUCAUGUGAGCACUGAUUUGAAGAAAUGGAAGUUUUUUGAAAGUUGAAAGCAUGAUUUCAUUGCUGAUAUUUAGUAUAUGGUGUUUCAUAGUUUUUUUAGUGUUUUACUCCCCUUUUAUUAGUUUGUAGUCUUAGCCAUGCAAUGUGUUGUUCUCAUAUUUAAUUUAAGAUUGUUAAAGGAUUUAGAAAGGCAUGUUUUUAAAUCCAGGGUCAAUAAAUUAUAGUUGUUGUUGGGGUUUGCUUGCUAAACAAAUUAACCUUUGUUGUAGCAGCUGGUUACUAUGGUUGUUGAUUGUUGCAUUUCAAUUGGAGUCUGUUAGUUUUAUUUUGUUUGUUGUUAUGUGUU
rnacentral:lncRNA from 1 species